AUGCGCGCGGCCUCUGGAAUUCCCGAAACCAUUUUCCCGCACACUGUCAACACACAGCUGUGCGAGUCCACGCGUCAAUGCGUGCAACGCGACUGCCCGGCGCCCACGACCCCACGCCAUGGGCCCCGACGCCCCGCGCCGAGGAGGGAGGGAGGGAGCGAGACAAACCGCGGCCGCAUUAUAGCUUCCAGGUGGAAGCGGGAGCCCCGGUUUCGGCGCCACGCCGCCCGCCCCUGGUUUGCUCCCCAAGAAGAACAGAACAGAGCAGGUAGCCAGCCAGCCAGACGUGGCGAAACCGCACCCUCCCUCCCAGCCCGGCCCCAUAUAUACCCCCGGCCUCCCCACACUCGGUUCCCCACGGAUUUGUUGAUCCUGUGA
rnacentral:rRNA from 1 species